UACCCGCAGCCCGAGUGGUGGCCGCGUUUAUUGAGCCUAAAGCGCUCGUAGCCGGGUCGGCAAGUCCUUUGUGAAAUCGGCCAGGAGACUGGUCGGCGUGCGAGGGAUACUGCCAGCCUAGGGGCCGGGAGACGUCGAGGGUACUCCGGGGGUAGCGGUGAAAUGCUCUAAUCCCUGGGGGACCACCAGUGGCGAAGGCGUUCGGCGAGGACGGACCCGACGGUGAGGGGCGAAGGCUAGGGGAGCGAAC
rnacentral:rRNA from 1 species